GAGCUCUGCUAAAUAAAUCAAUAUUAAAUGACCGAGUAUCAGGGCAAAUUCUAAGAGCUGAAUCUAUUUAUAUCUGACUAUUGAUAUAUUAAGAAAUGCCACAAGUUAAGACUUGUAUAGUUGCGGAAUAUCAAUACCUGUAUCUCGAGGAGAAUAAUCGAAUAAGGAUAGGCAAAAGCAAUGUCUCCGAGUGCCUGGAAAACUAACCAAAUCUUCUGAGCAGCACUCUUUGUUGGUACUCCCACAAUGCUUCCCUUGAUACCCCUAUUAUCGAUCACUUUAGAGAACCCAAGGCCCAAUCCGAUGAAAGAGUAACAAAAUGACAUUAGCGCAGCAACAACAGACAA
rnacentral:misc_RNA from 1 species